AGAUUGAACGCUGGCGGCAUGCCUAACACAUGCAAGUCGAACGGGAGUAGCAAUACUCUAGUGGCGGACGGGUGAGGAAUACGUAGGAAUUUGCCCUUAAGUGGGGGAUAACCCGGGGAAACCCGGAUUAAUACCGCAUGACCUCGAAAGAGCAAAGUGGGGGAUCGCAAGACCUCACGCUUUUGGAGAAGCCUACGUCGGAUUAGCUAGUUGGUGAGGUAAUGGCUCACCGAAGGCGACGACUCCGUAACUGGGUCUGAGAGGAUGAUCAGUCCACACCGGAACUGAGACGACGGCCGACUCCGUACGGAGCAGCGAGGUGGGAAUAGUGGACAAGUGGGCGACAA
rnacentral:rRNA from 1 species